AGUCAAGCAACUCUAGAACAGGGCUUCUAUGCCUCUAGCUCCUCAUAACAAGGGCCAGAGUAAAUGCAAAGAACACAAAGUGCUUCAAAGAAAAGGAACUCAGUAGAUCAGAGCACUGUUUCAUGCUAACUCUCAUAAACACAGAAAGGAAAAAUCUGUUGAACAAAGAAGCCAAAUGUCAUAAAUAUGCCUCCCUGUGUCAAAGACUGGAAAUUCUUGCUCACAGAGCACAACAGGCAAAGGCAAAACAGAUCUUCACUUGGCUACUGAUGAUGGAAACAAUCCGCCUCAGAGUCAGUCAAGCUACUGACAAAAAUAUUUCUUUGGAAGUGAUGGGUAUUUAGGAUGUAAGCCCUGUGGCUCAAGACUGAGCUUAAAAUGUGUUUCAGGGGAUGUCCAAGUACAGAAAACUCUACCAGAUGCCAUGAGACACAAAGGCCACAGAACACGCCAUGACAUUUGGUCUACCUUUCUCAUCCCCUAUUUGUCUCCAAGUCCUGGACCAUCUGAACUUGUAAGAAAUUAUCCAUGAAUUGAAAGACAAAGAAGAGGUCAGAAAUAGAAUCAAAUAGUGUAAAUAGAUCCACAGAAGAAGAAGUAUAAUGAACCUGAAAUUGCCAAACCCCUUUUAAGGAAAAUUUUCCUAGCAUAAUAUAUGAAGUCUUGGUGGGGACCAAAAAGCUGAAGAAAUCAGAGAUAACUGCUGCACAUUCUAAGGAAAGGUGCAAGACAUCUGCGGUACUCCACCAGCCCCCAACCUUGGAGGAUCCAGAAACAGAAGAGGAGAAGUAGCAAGCAGACAGCAGAUACAAACAGCACUCCCUGCAAUCAUUUACCCAUUUGUGGUUCUCUAGUUGCAAGCCAGUUGCUUAUGCUGGGGUAGGGAAAGGUGCUUUGAAAUGGUUUGUCUUGAUUUAAAUUGGAUUGGAUAUUUUCACAUCUGAAAAUAAUACUGUUCUAAUACCCAAAAGUGACAAUAUAAAAGCUAUAGGGAAACUUCCUGAGGUAUUUUCCAAGACAGCAGAAAGCAGGUCUAACAGAGAAUUUCUUAAAAUAGUGGUAGAGAAAAAGGAAACAAAUUCUUGGUUAUAUCCCAUUGAAAUUAGCCUGUUCACCUGCACACACAUACAUGUGUCUACAUAUUCUCACAGUAUUGCAUUUUUUUCUAGGUUGAUGAAAUAUCUUUAAGCUCUUUGGUCUAUGCUUCAUAAAAGAUAGCAAAAUAAAAUUAUAUGGAAUUUCCAAUAACAGAACAUAUGGCAAAGAUGGAGUCAAGCAAUAGAACCCCAGUUUGUAACUGGCAAAUUCAGCAGCAGAGUAUACAGACUUAUGGUUUGUACUUCUGCUCAGGGCUAUUAAUAUUGUAAAUGACUCUAAUAACUAACUGCUUAGCUUACAUUAUGUGAUGAAGGAUCUUCAUUCUCCUGGGCAAUCUCAGAUCUUUUAAUAAUUAUUGGUUUAAUAACUGAAAAUAUUCAGUCAACAAAAUGGUUAUUUGAAAUAAUACCAUAUGUAGAAACAAUUUUCCAAGUUCACAUAUUAAUAUAAUAAUGUGUUAAUUACAGAAAGCUGAUUGUUUGGGUAGCGCACUCCUAGAGGCUGACGUGUAGCAACAAUGUGGGUCAGUCCCUGAGAGCCUGAGCUCUUGCAUUUUGGUCAUGUCAAGCCCAAGAUCAAGAGAAAGCUCAUGUGGUAAAAAGCUUGGCAUGACAUCUUAGAGACCCAGAGCACGGAGGCCCUUUACAUAAACAGAACAAAUCCUUUUCAGUGCUUUUAGACCUUAACAAACAUGGGGUGAUGUACAAAACUGCACUCCCCCCACUAUAAGGCUAGCCCCCACCCUACAAACCCCUGAACUCUUUUCAGCAUUUCUUAAAUCUGUUCCAUUGAACAAUCUGCGUUCAUUGUAACAAAUACAAUCUCAUUGAAUUAGAUUCUGAGGAGACUUUAUAGUAGAGGAAAAAAGGAGACUGAUCCUGUAUUCUCUUUAGUUUAAACAAGGAACAGAGCACAGCAAAUGAGAAAUCUUGGGUGAGCUAAGUUCACUGGAAUGGGUAGGGAGGGAUGGGGAAGGGGAAGUGGGGAAAUUUGAGAGACUUGUACUAGGUAAGGAAUCCAUUUCUAGGUGUCUCAGAAACAAAAAACCCAGUGUUAAUGUCUGUGCUUUAAUUAUGUGACUGUUAGGUGUCACUGGGCACGUUUUUAUUUUUCUAUUACAAUGCAAUACAUUUCUUUGAAUUUAAACUUCCUUCAAUUGUAAGAUAAGGCUUGGAGGCAGAAUCACCAAAAUUAUAAAGUGGGAGAGGAAAAACAUGCCAGUAGCUAUUGAAAGAUGUAACAAAGAUUUGACUAAUCUGAAUAUUUAUAGUUUGUAAUAGCUUAUUGGCCAUCAUAGUCUGAUAAACCUGCACUAUCGCCCAGGCACACACAAUUCAUUGCCUAGUAUCAUUAUGAUUAUCUAUGGCUGUCUCAUUACUCAACCAUUGCUUCAGUUGUAUCAGGAGUAAAAAUAAUAAGCCAUAAGCUUCCCUGUUGCUUAACCUAACAACAAAUCAUUCCAAUUCCAAGCCCAAUGUCUAUUAUUCAAAGCAAAUUAGGAUCAUACAGACAGAUUUCUUCUUCCUUCACUGGGGCAGCUGACCUCUCUCCCCUGAAGCUGUCGACCCAUGCAAAUGUUACAUUUAGGAACUCAUUCUUGAUUUUCGGGAGUUACAAAUCCCUAAUAACUUAACGAGCAAAACAUAGAGUUAGCUUUGCAAUGCUUCAGCACACAAAUUAGCUAGACAAAUAAAAAGGAUUAAAAAAAUCUUGAAAACAGCACUUAUCAUCAGUCUCCCAUUCAGAAAUAAUGAAGGGAGAUGGUUUAUACAGACUUAGUAAUAAGACACGACAUAAAUGUAAAUAUAACAUGUUAUGACCUUUCUUCUGGUGAACAAUAAGCAUUUUGUUCAUUAUCCAGAGCCUCUUUGUUUAUAAUGAAUGUGGUGAUGAAUCGAAGUUAUGACAUCAAUUAAAUCACAAGUUUGUAUUAUUUUCAAACAGACAAAAUGCAGAUAUUUUAAGGCAGGUAGGAAAAAUGAUGAGUUACUGUCUAUUCUUGGUCUCUAAAUGAGUUAUACAUAUUCAAAAAAGGAACAUUAAAGAUGCUCUACAAAGCCAGGAUCAUAUAUUACUUUUACUCUGAACAAAGAUAACAUUUGUAGAAUGCCAUUAGCAAUAAAUCUUUUAGAUUUUUUCACUUAAAAUCUUAUGAUCCCAAUGGGAAGAAUAGACAAUCAGUAAAUAGAACUCAGAUAUCUGUGAGGAAUUUGCCUGAAUUAGAGCUGAACUAUCUUGACAGGGAGCUUGAGAAAAAAAAUUACCUUUGGUAUUCUGAUGAAUGUAUUUGAAUUUUUCUUUAAAGGCAUCACUAAAAUAGAAACAAAAGUACUUACUUUGUCACAGCUGAAAAACACAGGAUGUGUAGUACAUAAUUACCAAUGAUACAAAGUAAAUAUCAUUGGAUAAAAUAUACAGACCAUAGAAUCAUUUCAAAGAAUAUUGAACUUGAAUAUAUUAUAAUAAAAUAUAAACUGUUCGAUAUUAUGCAUUUCUCCUUUUUGUGAUUUUGUAAUUUCAACAUGAGAGAAAUAUGAAUUAAAAAUGUUUUAUAAA